UAAUCAAUAUCAAAGUUAAGCUAAGAACACUAAAUUCUUUCUGAAUUUUUUCUAAAUUAUAUCUAUCUUUAUCUCUAAAUCAUUAACCUUCAUAUGGGUAAGUAUAUUGUUACUUUUAUUUAUUAUUUAUUAUUAUUAUUAUUAUUUUAAUGUUAUACAGCUAUUGAGUGUCUUAAUUUCUUAAGCUUUCUGUCUAACCCAUGUAGCGAGUUUUCAACCAAUGACUCUCAAACCAGAUGACUUUAGGGCACUAGAUAUAGAAUACCCCU
rnacentral:lncRNA from 1 species